rnacentral:rRNA from 1 species
AACGAACGCUGGCGGCAUGCCUAACACAUGCAAGUCGAACGAGACCUUCGGGUCUAGUGGCGCACGGGUGCGUAACGCGUGGGAACCUGCCCUUAGGUUCGGAAUAACUCCCCGAAAGGGGUGCUAAUACCGGAUAAUGUCUUCGGACCAACGAUUUAUCGCCUUUGGAUGGGCCCGCGUUGGAUUAGCUAGUUGGUAGGGUAAAAGCCUACCAAGGCGACGAUGCAUAGCUGGUCUGGGAGGAUGAUCAGCCACACUGGGACUGAGACACGGCCCAGACUCCUACGGGAGGGAGCAGUGGGGAAUAUUGGACAAUGGGCGAAAGCCUGAUCAAGCAAUGCCGCGUGAGUGAUGAAGGCCGUAGGGUUGUAAAGCUCUUUUACCCGGGAUGAUAAUGACAGUACCGGGAGAAUAAGCUCCGGCUAACUCCGUG